CAGUCGCCGCGGUAAUACGUAGGGUGCGAGCGUUAAUCGGAAUUACUGGGCGUAAAGCGUGCGCAGGCGGUUUUGUAAGACAGGCGUGAAAUCCCCGGGCUCAACCUGGGAAUGGCGCUUGUGACUGCAAAGCUAGAGUGCGGCAGAGGGGGAUGGAAUUCCGCGUGUUGCAGUGAAAUGCGUAGAUAUGCGGAGGAACACCGAUGGCGAAGGCAAUCCCCUGGGCCUGCACUGACGCUCAUGCACGAAAGCGUGGGGAGCAAACAGGAUUAGAUACCCCGGUAGUCCCUGUCUCUUAUAC
rnacentral:rRNA from 1 species